rnacentral:lncRNA from 1 species
CUUGCUUUACACUCCUUUCAGCUUUGAAAUUCUAUGACUGCAUUCUAUCUCUGAUUUAAUGCCUUGGUAAAUAGAUAUUGGGCUUAUAAUUACUGUGAUUACUCAAGAAAAGCAAAAAUCACUGUGGAGCAUUGUGGAGAUGGGUCGAGAUCAGUAUGAGUGCUUUGAUAUCCCUUCCAGCACACCAGAAAAGGCAUGGAAACGCCAUAAAGUCAUGCAUACUGAGGAAUGAUGGCCCUGUAGAUUCUUACUCUUGGUAAGGGGCAGAGAAACCAUCCUAUAACCUGUGACCUGUUUUCUCACAAGUCACCAGGAGAUGGGGAAUUCCUUCCUGAGAUGAAUGGUAGGGUGUGAUAUUCAUUGUUUCCGUUACACAAAAUGAUAAAUAAUUUUGAAAACCAAAGAAAGAGUUCCACUGGCAUGUAUGUGUGCUUACUUUUUUCACAUAUUGAUCAAAUAAUCUGAUUGCUGUUUACAUCUUGCUAAU